rnacentral:rRNA from 1 species
UACAGAGGUCCCAAGCGUUGUUCGGAUUCACUGGGCGUAAAGGGUGCGCAGGUGGGUUUGCAAGUUCGAUGUGAAAGCCCCGGGCUUAACCCGGGAAUGGCAUUGGAUACUGCAGAUCUGGAGGAUCGGAGGGGGGACUGGAAUUCUUGGUGUAGCAGUGAAAUUCGUAGAUAUCGGGAGGAACACCAGUGGCGAAGGCGGCUCUCUGGGCAGAUACCGACGCUGAGACGCGAAAGCGUGGGGAGCAAACAGG